GGCAGUAUGGCGUAGUGGUAAGGAGCAGGAUUCAUAACCCAAAGGUCAUGGCUUCCAUUCCCAUUUGGGCCA